AACGAACGCUGGCGGCGCGCUUAACACAUGCAAGUCGAACGGGGUCAUUAAGAAGUAGCAAUACGGAUUAAUGACUUAGUGGCGAACGGGUGAGUAAUACAUAGGCAACCUGCCCUUAGGAUUGGGAUACUCCCGAGAAAUCGGGCACAAUACCGAAUAUGAUUACGAGGUGAAAUCCCUUGUGAUAAAAGUCCCGAGCAAUCGGGACACCUGAGGAGGGGCCUGUGGCCUAUCAGCUUGUUGGUGAGGUAACGGCUCACCAAGGCUAAGACGGGUAGCCGGACUGAGAGGUCGAUCGGCCACACUGGAACUGAGACACGGUCCAGACUCCUACGGGAGGCAG
rnacentral:rRNA from 1 species